rnacentral:misc_RNA from 1 species
CGCACCUUGCGCUCCUUGGUAUUCCGAGGAGCAUGUCUGUUUGAGUGUCAUGAACAUCUUCACCCGCCGAUGCUUUUUGGAGCGUCGGUGGUGUGGACUUGGGGACUGCUGGCUUCACGGUCGGCUUCCCUGGAAUGCAUUAGCGGUCGUUGUUGGCCUGACCACGGUGUGAUAGUUUAUUUCACCAUCGGGAGGGUCGCAUGGACGUCGCUCACAGCCGUCUUCGGACACUUUGAACCGUUUGGCCUCAAAUCAGACAGGACUACCCGCUGAACUUAA